AAGACCCACAACAUGUAAAAGAAUUCAUUCAGGAAAAAAGAGACAUAGCUCUAAAGCUUCGUUGUUCUUUCUUUCUUUCUUUCUUUUUU
rnacentral:ribozyme from 11 species